GACGAACGCUGGCGGCGUGCUUAACACAUGCAAGUCGAACGGAAAGGCCCUGCUUUUGUGGGGUGCUCGAGUGGCGAACGGGUGAGUAACACGUGAGUAACCUGCCCUUGACUUUGGGAUAACUUCAGGAAACUGGGGCUAAUACCGGAUAGGAGCUCCUGCUGCAUGGUGGGGGUUGGAAAGUUUCGGCGGUUGGGGAUGGACUCGCGGCUUAUCAGCUUGUUGGUGGGGUAGUGGCUUACCAAGGCUUUGACGGGUAGCCGGCCUGAGAGGGUGUCCGGCCACAUUGGGACUGAGAUACGGCCCAGACUCCUACGGGAGGCAGCAGUGGGGAAUAUUGCACAAUGGGCGGAAGCCUGAUGCAGCAACGCCGCGUGCGGGAUGACGGCCUUCGGGUUGUAAACCGCUUUCGCCUGUGACGAAGCGUGAGUGACGGCAAUGGGUAAAGAAGCACCGGCUAACUACGUG
rnacentral:rRNA from 1 species